rnacentral:rRNA from 1 species
AGUUUGAUCAUGGCUCAGAUUGAACGCUGGCGGCAUGCCUUACACAUGCAAGUCGAACGGUAACGGGCCUUCGGGUGCCGACGAGUGGCGAACGGGUGAGUAAUGUAUCGGAACGUACCUUUCAGUGGAGGAUAACGUAGCGAAAGUUACGCUAAUACCGCAUAUUCUGUGAGCAGGAAAGCAGGGGAUCGCAAGACCUUGCGCUGAUUGAGCGGCCGAUAUCAGAUUAGCUAGUUGGUGAGGUAAAGGCUCACCAAGGCGACGAUCUGUAGCGGGUCUGAGAGGAUGAUCCGCCACACUGGAACUGAGACACGGUCCAGACUCCUACGGGAGGCAGCAGUGGGGAAUUUUGGACAAUGGGGGCAACCCUGAUCCAGCCAUGCCGCGUGAGUGAAGAAGGCCUUCGGGUUGUAAAGCUCUUUCGGCCGGGAAGAAAUCGUAUGGGUUAAUACCCUGUGCGGAUGACGGUACCGGCAUAAGAAGCACCGGCUAACUACGUG